UACGUAGGGCGCAAGCGUUAUCCGGAAUUUAUUGGGCGUAAAGAGCUCGUAGGCGGUUUUGUCGCGUCUGCCCGUGAAAAGUCCGGGGGCUCAACUCCCGGAUCUGCGGUGGGGUACGGGGCAGACUAGAGUGAUGUAGGGGGAGACUGGAAUUCCUGGUGUAGCGGUGAAAAUGCGCAGAUAUCAGGAGGAACACCGAUGGCGAAGGC
rnacentral:rRNA from 1 species